rnacentral:rRNA from 1 species
AACCUUACCUACCCUUGACAUGUCUGGAAUGCCGAAGAGAUUUGGUAGUGCUCGCAAGAGAACCGGAACACAGGUGCUGCAUGGCUGUCGUCAGCUCGUGUCGUGAGAUGUUGGGUUAAGUCCCGCAACGAGCGCAACCCUUGUCAUUAGUUGCUACGAAAGGGCACUCUAAUGAGACUGCCGGUGACAAACCGGAGGAAGGUGGGGAUGACGUCAAGUCCUCAUGGCCCUUAUGGGUAGGGCUUCACACGUCAUACAAUGGUCGGGACAGAGGGUCGCCAACCCGCGAGGGGGAGCCAAUCCCAGAAACCCGUUCGUAGUCCGGAUCGCAGUCUGCAACUCGACUGCGUGAAGUCGGAAUCGCUAGUAAUCGCGGAUCAG